AUGGCCUUUGGGCAUGUUUGUUCUUUGUGCAGUUUCAUCAGUACCAGGUGGUGGGAAGGGCUCUACCUAUGGAGACAGAUGAGCACCCGAAGAUCUAUUGGAUGAAGCCCUGGGCUACCAUUGAGGUCCACGCUAAGUCGAAAUUUUGGUAUUUUUCUGAGGAAGCUUAAGAAUGUGAAGAAGAGCAAUGGUCAAGUUUUCAUUAUUAAUGAGUUUGAUGAGUUGGUUGAGGACAGGUGUAAAGAUGUUGAUAUAUCCAAAGGCGCUCACGCUUGUAACAGGAACAAAGAUGGAUUUGUUGAUGACAAACUUAGAUAUGAGAUAUUUCUCCACUUCUAAUUGUAGAUGAAACUUUUAAAGCAAUAUCUAGCUGUAUCUUCAUA